CAUUUUAGCUCUCCUUUUCUUUAAUAAUUUUUGUUAUUACUUAUCAGGAAAAAGAAAAAUAGAAAAGGACACCCAGCAGUGCAAUAACUUAAUUAAUCUACCACAAUCAAUUUAAAAAUGUAUUGACAAGAGAGCCAUAUCCAAUGAGUUCCUUCGUAAGCAUCCAUAUCCUCCCCCAUCCAAACUUUUUGGGGAUUCAGAGGACAAACCCUGUUCCAUCAUUUUAGUUCAUUAGGUCAAGACUCAGGACCUGAAACUCAGGCCUUUAUAGAUUAAUCUCAAGUUCAUAUUUCAUAGACCCUGUUAGAUACCCAUAGUUUACAUAAAAUUCCUGAUUAAUAUAUAUUGCUAGAGUACUUAUCAAAUAUAUACAUAGUGCUAGAACAGACCUUUUAAUCUUAUAUAUUUUCUUUCCAAUAUGUGACCAAACUCUAUUCUUAAAUUUAAUACCUAACAAUGUAUUGGGCUACAUUAAUACUUCUUGAAAGUGAGAAGAACACAAAUGUUAUAGACCUUAAGUUUAGCACCUAACUUCUUGUAAUCACUUGUGUGCAUCCCUUUGCAGUCAAUUUUUCACUAGUGGGCUUCCUUCAAAAGCAUUCCUAACAUCUUUCACCAAGGUUAUGUAUACUCCAUUUUUUGCUGCAAUGAGAAAGAAGGAAAUAAAUAGUUUGAAUUGAUCACCAAUAAAAAUAAUAAAACUUGAGUCAUGAUGAUGCUUAUAGACAAUAGACUUUGUCCCAUAAAUAGUGCAACUAGAAUCUCUGAAAUGAAAGCAAGCCUAUAAUACAGGAGCAACUUGCAGCAGCAUACACGUUCAAAUCCAUAGACACUUCAGAUGGUUUAGCAUAUAAAAAAGUAUGUAUAGUGUGACAUGGUCAUGUUGAAUUGAGGAAUUCUAAGCCCAUAUUGAAACUGAGCUUGGCUGUUUGCCUGAACAAAACAUCAACAGAUCUGGAACCCAGGUGUUGGGACCGGCUAGAACAAUUGGCAUAAAGUGUUUAUAUUGUGACCCUUUUAGAAUAGAGAGACAUACAGUUUUGUUGGGAUUUUGCUUGAUUAUCUGUU